rnacentral:rRNA from 1 species
GUCAGUUUCUAUCUAUAAAGAGCUCUUCCCAGUACGAAAGGACCGAAAGAGCAUGGCCUCUGUAAUAUUCAAGCCCUAGCUAAUAACUUAUGCCCCAAACUCAAUAAAAAAUCAGCCUACCACCAACCUCAAAAAUAGAGCA